rnacentral:rRNA from 1 species
CACGUAGGGUGCGAGCGUUGUCCGGAAUUAUUGGGCGUAAAGAGCUCGUAGGCGGUGUGUCGCGUCGGCCGUGAAAACCUGCAGCUUAACUGUGGGCUUGCGGUCGAUACGGGCAUCACUGGAGUUCGGCAGGGGAGACUGGAAUUCCUGGUGUAGCGGUGAAAUGCGCAGAUAUCGGAAGGAACAUCAGUGGCGAAAGCGGCUUCCUGGACCAGCACCGACGUUCAGGCACGAAAGCGUGGGGAGCAAACAGG